UACAGAGGUGGCAAGCGUUGUUCGGAAUUACUGGGCGUAAAGGGCGCGUAGGCGGCCAUCUAAGUCAGACGUGAAAUCCCCCGGCUUAACCUGGGAACUGCGUCUGAUACUGGACGGCUUGAGUAUGGGAGAGGGAUGUAGAAUUCCAGGUGUAGCGGUGAAAUGCGUAGAUAUCUGGAGGGAUACCGGUGGCGAAGGCGGCAUCCUGGCCCUGUCCUGACGCUCAGGGGCGAAAGCGUGGGGAGCAAAGCGGG
rnacentral:rRNA from 1 species